rnacentral:rRNA from 1 species
UACGAAGGGGGCUAGCGUUGCUCGGAAUCACUGGGCGUAAAGCGCACGUAGGCGGAUUGCUAAGUCAGGGGUGAAAUCCUGGAGCUCAACUCCAGAACUGCCUUUGAUACUGGCGACCUUGAGUCCGGGAGAGGUGAGUGGAACUGCGAGUGUAGAGGUGAAAUUCGUAGACAUUCGCAAGAACACCAGUGGCGAAGGCGGCUCACUGGCCCGGUACUGACGCUGAGGUGCGAAAGCGUGGGGAGCAAACAGG